AUGCCCUGGCAGUCAGAGGCGAUGAAGGACGUGCUAAUCUGCGAAAAGCGUCGGUAAGGUGAUAUGAACCGUUAUAACCGGCGAUGUCCGAAUGGGGAAACCCAGUGUGAUUCGUCACACUAUCGUUAACUGAAUACAUAGGUUAACGAGGCGAACCGGGGGAACUGAAACAUCUAAGUACCCCGAGGAAAAGAAAUCAACCGAGAUUCCCCCAGUAGCGGCGAGCGAACGGGGAGCAGCCCAGAGUCUGAAUCAGCUUGUGUGUUAGUGGAACGGUCUGGAAAGUCCGACGGUACAGGGUGAUAGUCCCGUACACCAAAAUGCACAGGCUGUGAACUCGAAGAGUAGGGCGGGACACGUGGUAUCCUGUCUGAAUAUGGGGGGACCAUCCUCCAAGGCUAAAUACUCCUGACUGACCGAUAGUGAACCAGUACCGUGAGGGAAAGGCGAAAAGAACCCCGGCGAGGGGAGUGAAAAAGAACCUGAAACCGUGUACGUACAAGCAGUGGGAGCACCUUCGGGUGUGACUGCGUACCUUUUGUAUAAUGGGUCAGCGACUUAUAUUCUGUAGCAAGGUUAACCGUAUAGGGGAGCCGCAGGGAAACCGAGUCUUAACUGGGCGUUAAGUUGCAGGGUAUAGACCCGAAACCCGGUGAUCUAGCCAUGGGCAGGUUGAAGGUUGGGUAACACUAACUGGAGGACCGAACCGACUAAUGUUGAAAAAUUAGCGGAUGACUUGUGGCUGGGGGUGAAAGGCCAAUCAAACCGGGAGAUAGCUGGUUCUCCCCGAAAGCUAUUUAGGUAGCGCCUCGUGAACUCAUCUUCGGGGGUAGAGCACUGUUUCGGCUAGGGGGUCAUCCCGACUUACCAACCCGAUGCAAACUACGAAUACCGAAGAAUGUUAUCACGGGAGACACACGGCGGGUGCUAACGUCCGUCGUGAAGAGGGAAACAACCCAGACCGCCAGCUAAGGUCCCAAAGUCAUGGUUAAGUGGGAAACGAUGUGGGAAGGCACAGACAGCCAGGAUGUUGGCUUAGAAGCAGCCAUCAUUUAAAGAAAGCGUAAUAGCUCACUGGUCGAGUCGGCCUGCGCGGAAGAUGUAACGGGGCUAAACCAUGCACCGAAGCUGCGGCAGCGACACUAUGUGUUGUUGGGUAGGGGAGCGUUCUGUAAGCCUGCGAAGGUGUGCUGUGAGGCAUGCUGGAGGUAUCAGAAGUGCGAAUGCUGACAUAAGUAACGAUAAAGCGGGUGAAAAGCCCGCUCGCCGGAAGACCAAGGGUUCCUGUCCAACGUUAAUCGGGGCAGGGUGAGUCGACCCCUAAGGCGAGGCCGAAAGGCGUAGUCGAUGGGAAACAGGUUAAUAUUCCUGUACUUGGUGUUACUGCGAAGGGGGGACGGAGAAGGCUAUGUUAGCCGGGCGACGGUUGUCCCGGUUUAAGCAUGUAGGCUGAUUGUCCAGGCAAAUCCGGAUAAUCAAGGCUGAGGUGUGAUGACGAGGCACUACGGUGCUGAAGUAACAAAUGCCCUGCUUCCAGGAAAAGCCUCUAAGCAUCAGGUAACAUCAAAUCGUACCCCAAACCGACACAGGUGGUCAGGUAGAGAAUACCAAGGCGCUUGAGAGAACUCGGGUGAAGGAACUAGGCAAAAUGGUGCCGUAACUUCGGGAGAAGGCACGCUGGUGUGUAGGUGAAGUCCCUGCGGAUGGAGCUGAGACCAGUCGAAGAUACCAGCUGGCUGCAACUGUUUAUUAAAAACACAGCACUGUGCAAACACGAAAGUGGACGUAUACGGUGUGACGCCUGCCCGGUGCCGGAAGGUUAAUUGAUGGGGUUAUCCGUAAGGAGAAGCUCUUGAUCGAAGCCCCGGUAAACGGCGGCCGUAACUAUAACGGUCCUAAGGUAGCGAAAUUCCUUGUCGGGUAAGUUCCGACCUGCACGAAUGGCGUAAUGAUGGCCAGGCUGUCUCCACCCGAGACUCAGUGAAAUUGAACUCGCUGUGAAGAUGCAGUGUACCCGCGGCAAGACGGAAAGACCCCGUGAACCUUUACUAUAGCUUGACACUGAACAUUGAGCCUUGAUGUGUAGGAUAGGUGGGAGGCUUUGAAGC
rnacentral:rRNA from 1 species